CGAACGCUGGCGGCGUGGAUUAGGCAUGCAAGUCGAACGGAGUUUUCUAGCAUUUCCGGAGAACUUAGUGGCGAAAGGGUGAGUAACACGUGGGUUACCUGCCCCGGGGUUUGGGAUAACCUAUCGAAAGAUGGGCUAAUACCGAAUACGUUCUUACAUCGUAUUGGUGUAAGAGGAAAGAUGGGGAUCCGUAAGGACCCAUCACCCUUGGAUGGGCCCGCGGCCUAUCAGCUUGUUGGUGAGGUAAUGGCUCACCAAGGCUAAGACGGGUAGCUGGUCUGAGAGGAUGGUCAGUCACACUGGGACUGAGACACUGCCCAGACACCUACGGGUGGCUGCAGUCGAGAAUCUUUCGCAAUGGGGGAAACCCUGACGAAGCGACGCCGCGUGCAGGAUGAAGGCCUUCGGGUUGUAAACUGCUGUCAGCUGGGGAGAAAAGGCAACGAUUAAUAAUUGUUGCUCUUGACGGUACCAGCAGAGGAAGCCACGGCUAACUCU
rnacentral:rRNA from 1 species